CAGAACAUGAACUGUCAUCAAGCCCUUGUUGGGACUGUUCUAUGAGAGGAGAAGACAGAAAGGCCAACAUCUGAGCAGCUUUCUGAAAAUCAUCAUUUUUCUCUGCUGCGUCAGUUGUUGUUUCUCUUAGAUCAUGUACACCUGGUGACGAACACAGCGCACGAGAGAGGCAGACAGAGAGAGAGAGAAAAAGAGGAUCCCUUUACCUGGACGAUAUUUCCAGCUCACAGUUCACGGAGGGAAGGAACAAUCCAAGAGGAUGGACCCAUCCAGCGUCAUGGCAAACAGCAUCCUUGCUGUCUUCUCUGUGUUGCAGCUCGGCCAAGGAGAUGCUAAAAUAACGCAAACACCAAGUCUGGUGCUGGAGAGAGGACAAACUGCAUAUCUCAGAUGUGAACAAACCUAUGGUCACAACAAUAUGUUCUGGUACCGACAGGAUCCAGGUCAGGGAAUGCAGUUCCUCAUUAAUUUCUACAACAAAGAACAAAACGAAAAAGGAAAGAUUACUGAUCGCUUCCAGGCCUACCAGCCGCAGAAUAAUCUCUUUCGCUUGAACAUCUCGUCUGUGCAGCCAGAGGACUCAGCUGUGUAUUUCUGCGCCAGCAGUUUAGACACAGUGCUUCAGAGUCCCCUUCUCCCUCUACAAAAACCUCACCUGUUCCUUGUCUCUCUGCAGCCCCAGCACAGGAAGCAGCAGGCUGGCUGUCACCACAUGGAAGCAACAGGGCUAAUUCUCUGAGAAACAGAUGCUAAAAUAACCCCUGGAGAGAGGACAGAUUGCCUAUCUGAAAUGUCAGCAAACCUAUGAGCACGACAGCAUGUUCUGGUACCGGCAGGAUCUGUGUCAGUUGCUCUUCAGCUAUAAGGAGAAAGAGAAAAAGGCAAAAUUGUGAGUUGCUUGAGGCCAACUAGCCACAGGAUGGUCUCUUUCGAUCGAACAUC